rnacentral:rRNA from 1 species
GACGAACGCUGGCGGCGUGCUUAACACAUGCAAGUCGAGCGGUAAGGCUCCUUCGGGAGUACACGAGCGGCGAACGGGUGAGUAACACGUGAGUAAUCUGCCCUUCACUUCGGGAUAACCACCGGAAACGGUGGCUAAUACCGAAUACGACCAGUCUUCGCAUGAGGUGCUGGUGGAAAGUCUUUUCGGUGAAGGAUGUGCUCGCGGCCUAUCAGCUUGUUGGUGGGGUAAUGGCCUACCAAGGCUUCGACGGGUAGCCGGCCUGAGAGGGUGACCGGCCACACUGGGACUGAGACACGGCCCAGACUCCUACGGGAGGAAGCAGUGGGGAAUAUUGGACAAUGGGCGAAAGCCUGAUCCAGCAACGCCGCGUGAGGGAUGACGGCCUUCGGGUUGUAAACCUCUUUCAGUACCGACGAAGCGCCCUGUCGGGUGGUGACGGUAGGUACAGAAGAAGGACCGGCCAACUACGUG